rnacentral:rRNA from 1 species
AGUAACACGUGGGCAAUCUGCCCUGCACUCUGGGACAAGCCCUGGAAACGGGGUCUAAUACCGGAUAUUGACCUUCACGGGCAUCUGUGAGGUUCGAAAGCUCCGGCGGUGCAGGAUGAGCCCGCGGCCUAUCAGCUUGUUGGUGAGGUAAUGGCUCACCAAGGCGACGACGGGUAGCCGGCCUGAGAGGGCGACCGGCCACACUGGGACUGAGACACGGCCCAGACUCCUACGGGAGGCAGCAGUGGGGAAUAUUGCACAAUGGGCGAAAGCCUGAUGCAGCGACGCCGCGUGAGGGAUGACGGCCUUCGGGUUGUAAACCUCUUUCAGCAGGGAAGAAGCGAAAGUGACGGUACCUGCAGAAGAAGCGCCGGCUAACUACGUGCCAGCAGCCGCGGUAAUACGUAGGGCGCAAGCGUUGUCCGGAAUUAUUGGGCGUAAAGAGCUCGUAGGCGGCUUGUCACGUCGGUUGUGAAAGCCCGGGGCUUAACCCCGGGUCUGCAGUCGAUACGGGCAGGCUAGAGUUCGGUAGGGGAGAUCGGAAUUCCUGGUGUAGCGGUGAAAUGCGCAGAUAUCAGGA